GUUCUUAUAGUUGAAUUACAACGGUGGUUCUUCAAGUCAUUGGUCUCGGUUAGACUCCGGGUGAGAAUU
rnacentral:tRNA from 1 species